UACGUAGGAUCCAAGCGUUGUCCGGAUUUACUGGGUGUAAAGGGUGCGCAGGCUGGACUUGUUAGUCAGAGGUGAAAUCUCACUGCUCAACAGUGAAGCUGCCUUUGAUACUGCAGGUCUUGGAUCCAGAAGAGAGUUGUGGAAUUCCGAGUGUAGCAGUGAAAUGUGUAGAUAUUCGGAAGAACACCAGCGGCGAAGGCAGCAACUUGGUCUGGUAUUGACGCUCAGGCACGAAAGCAUGGGGAAUCAAACAGG
rnacentral:rRNA from 1 species